rnacentral:rRNA from 1 species
AUUGAACGCUGGCGGCAGGCCUAACACAUGCAAGUCGAGCGGAAGAAGGGUACUUGCUCCUGGAUACAGGGGGGGAGUGGCGGGCGGGGCCUAGGAACAUGGCUAUCAACUUUGUAGAAGGUGCGAACGUGGGCGCACUUACGGUAUAAGCGCAUACGACGAACGUGGGAGAGCAGCGGACCUUACGCCAUCACGCGAGUCAAUGUCGGAUUAGCUAGUUGGCGGGGUAAAGGCCUACCAAGGCGACGAUCCGUAACUGGUCUGAGAGGAUGAUCAGUCACACUGGAACUGAGACACGGUCCAGACUCCUACGGGAGGCAGCAGUGGGGAAUAUUGGACAAUGGGCGCAAGCCUGAUCCAGCCAUGCCGCGUGUGUGAAGAAGGUCUUCGGAUUGUAAAGCCCUUUUGUUUGGGAAGAAAAGCAGUAAGUUAAUACCUCGCUGUUCUGACGGUACCCAAAGAAUAAGCACCGGCUAACUUCGUG